UUGAACGCUGGCGGUAUGCUUUACACAUGCAAGUCGAACGGAUUAAGAAGCUUGCUUCUUAGUUAGUGGCGAACGGGUGAGUAAUAUAUCGGAACAUAUCCGGAAGUGGGGGAUAACGUAGCGAAAGUUACGCUAAUACCGCAUAUGCCCUGAGGGGGGAAAGGGGGGGAUCGCAAGACCUCUCGCUUUCGGAGUGGCCGAUAUCGGAUUAGCUAGUAGGUGAGGUAAAGGCUCACCUAGGCGACGAUCCGUAGCUGGUCUGAGAGGACGACCAGCCACACUGGAACUGAGACACGGUCCAGACUCCUACGGGAGGCAGCAGUGGGGAAUUUUGGACAAUGGGCGCAAGCCUGAUCCAGCCAUGCCGCGUGAGUGAAGAAGGCCUUCGGGUUGUAAAGCUCUUUCAGCCGGAAAGAAAUCGCACUUGCUAAUACUAAGUGUGGAUGACGGUACCGGAAGAAGAAGCACCGGCUAACUACGUGCCAGCAGCCGCGGUAAUACGUAGGGUGCGAGCGUUAAUCGGAAUUACUGGGCGUAAAGCGUGCGCAGGCGGUUUUUUAAGACAGACGUGAAAUCCCCGGGCUUAACCUGGGAACUGCGUUUGUGACUGGAAGGCUAGAGUAUGGCAGAGGGGGGUAGAAUUCCACGUGUAGCAGUGAAAUGCGUAGAUAUGUGGAGGAAUACCGAUGGCGAAGGCAGCCCCCUGGGUCAAUACUGACGCUCAUGCACGAAAGCGUGGGGAGCAAACAGGAUUAGAUACCCUGGUAGUCCACGCCCUAAACGAUGUCAACUAGGUGUUGGGGGAGGAGACUUCCUUAGUACCGCAGCUAACGCGUGAAGUGACCC
rnacentral:rRNA from 1 species